GAAAUUGGGCAAGCCACCUACUUACAAUUGUUCGAACAUGAACAUCAAUGGAAGAAGGGAGAAUGAGACGGACACAAGGUAGAUGACUUAAUUUUAAGAGCUUAGUUUCAUUUUUUAAAUGGAAGGGAAGUUAAUGUCAUUUUAGAGUAGAAUAUGCUUACAAUUUCAAGUCAUUGUUAGUCAUUUUAUACAUUUUAUUAAACUUUAGCCUUAUCCCCCAUUUUGAGUUUAAUCUUAAUAUAUUAAAUUUCCAAGAAAAGAUUAAUUAAAGUUGCAAUCCAUUUUUUUAAAUUUUAAUUCAAAUUAGCGAUGAAAAUAACGAUGUCAUUUUUGUUGCUAAUCUGAUGCCGAAAAAUCACAGCAACAAAACUGAUUCUGCGAAAAAACAACGAUGAUUACAGGAUGUUAGUGAUCACCACUCACAAACAAUUUCCUCAAGAUACAAAGCAGGACUAAGGCUUACCACUUCAAGAAAAGACUGGAGAUAAAGAUCACUCAAAGAAGAUAGCUCUUCUCAGAAAAAACGAACCAAGUCUCUUAUUUUUUUAAUCACCAAAAAAAAAGGUGUGAAUAAAGGUUAUAUUGGGCUUGUCAUUAUAGGAAAUAAAGUUAAACACAAUAGUAAUCUCUAAACUUAGAAUGUAAUAUUUUAAACUUAGAAAGAAAAAUAAUACUAAACUUGAAGAUAAGAAAAUCCCAGAAUUGGUUGUUCAAACUUCUUCAAAAUCUUGCCCCAAUCCUUCCUUAAUUAUUUCUUUGACAUCCGUGUCAUGCUCCCUUGGUUGAAAAAAGACUCAUCCUUGUGUCUAAAUCUAAGUUUGCUUCAUCUUUAUUUUUAUAAUAAAGGGAAAAGUCUAAUCCAUUGAAUGUAGUUGAAAUACCGUACUCUUUUGGAAGUUCAGUUCUGUAUGCAUUUUCCCAACGCGUUGCAGUACUUUGAAUGGACCAUCAGCUCGAGGAAUCAGCUUUCCAUACUUCUCUGUUGGAAAAAUCUCUUUUCAAAGGUGAAUCUACACCAUAUCUCAUUCCUUGAAAACAGCAAGUUUACGAUGCUUAUUAGCAGCAACACGACACUUCUCAUUUUGCUUAAUAAUCUUGUCUCGAAUCUGCUCAUGUAUCUUCUUGACAUCCUUGACCCUCUCAUCAUCAUAUCCACUAAAUUGUUACAUUGAAAUAAUGGGCGCCAAAUCCGAUGGGCUAAUUGGAUUGAGUCCAUACAAAGCUUCAAAAAGACUGCGACCGGUAGUUUGACUUGUAGAACGGUUAUAGGCAAACUCCAUAUGAGCUAGCAUAAGGUCCCACUGACGAAUAUUCUUACCCACAACUCUUCAACAAAUUGCCUAAGCUUCGAUUGAUAACUUCGGUCUGUCCAUCAGUUUACGGGUGAUGAGACGUGCUAAAAAGCAACUUUUGUACCAAGCUUUCUCCACAAAGUGUGCCAAAAGUGACUUGUAAACUUGGUAUCAGAAACAAUUAUUUUUGGUACACCAUGAAGUCGUACAAUCUCUCGUAAAUAUAGAUCAGCUACGUGUGAAGCAUCCAUGGUCCUAUUACGAGGAACAAAGUGUGCUAUCUUUGAAAAGCGAUCAACAACCACCAUGAUUGAAUCUUUGUUCCUUUGUAUUCCAGUAACCCCAAUACAAAAUCAAUGCUAACUUCCUCCCAUGGUGAACUUGGAACUGGUAAUGGAAUAUAUAAACCUGUGUUUUGCCCAUGACUUUUAGCUAUAUGACAAAUCUUGCAAUGCUCCAGAUGUCUCAUAAUGUCUCUCUCCAUUCUAGUCCAAUAAAAUCGUAAGGCCACUAAUAAAAGGGUUUUAUCACGUCCAAAAUUUCCAGCUAGGCCACCGCCAUGAGCUUCUAGGAUAAUCGCCUCUCGUAAUGAGCAUUAAGAAAUGUAUAAACGAUUAUCUUUGAACAAAUACCCAUCCUGUAACACAAAAUGAUUAAAUGGUCCCUUUAUACAUUCAGUUAGGAUAGCAUCAAAAUAUGGAUAACCUUAUAUAACUCUUUGAGAACUUCAAAGCCUAGGACCUUCACUUUCAUAGUACUGAGCAAUGAAUAUCUUCGACCUAGUGUAUCUGCCACUUUAUUUUUGACACCUGACUUGUGCUUAAUGGUAAAUGAAAAGGUUUGCAAAAAUUCCACCCAUUGAGCAUGUCGGCGAUUCAACUUGUGCUGCCCAUUGAUAUAUUUCAAUGCUUCAUGAUCAGAGAAGAGGACAAACUUUUUAGAUAAAAGAUAAUGACUCCAAUGCUCUAACGUUCAUACAAUAACAUAGAAUUCCUUAUCAUAUGUAGAUUAUUGCUUUCGAGAAUCACUCAACUUUUCAUUGAAAUAGGCAAUAGGCUUUCCUUCUUGACCGAGGAUUGCACCAAUUCCCACAUUCGAUGCAUCACAGUCUACUUCAAAGACAACUUCAAAAUUUGGCAACUUCAAGACAGGAGCUUCUUUAAAAACUCAAAAUUCUUUUGUGUUUCCCUAGUCCAAUCAACAACUCCACCCUUCAAACAAUCAAUGAUAGGAGAAAUAAUAGUACCAAAUUUUUUUAUAAAAUGAUGAUAAAAAGAAGCUAACCCAUUAAAACUUCGAAUAUCCUGAAUGGAGUUUGGAACAGACCAACUUGUGUUUGCCUCUACCUUGGAUCUAUCUUGAUUCCAUCACUUGAGACUACAAAGCCUAAGAAGAUCAAGCUCGUAGUGCAAAAGUGACAUUUUUUUAAAUUGAUGUAAAGCUUUUACUCUCGGAGUUUCUCAAAAACUUGAUGAAGAUGGAUCAAGUGCUGCUCAAUAUUCUUACUAUACACUAGAAUAUCGUCAAAGUAGACCACAACAAAUAAACCAAUAAAAUCUUUAAGCAUAUGAUUCAUGAAGCGUAUAAAAGUGCUUGGGGACAUUCGACAACCCAAAAGGCAUAAUGGUCCACUCAUACAAUCUAUCUUUAGUCUUGAAAGCAGUCUUUCACUCAUCUCCUAGCCUCAUUCAGAUCUGAUAAUAUCCGUUCCUGAGAUCAACCUUCGAAAAUAUAGAAGCACCAUGUAAUUGAUCAAGUCGUCAAGUCGUGAAUGGAAAAUCAGUACUUAAUCAUAAUCUUGUUCACUGCCCUACACGCUAGGAACCAUCCUUUUUAGGCACAAGAAGUGCUGGAAUUGCACAUGGGCUCAUACUUUUUUUCACGAACCCUUUUGCAAUCAAGUCAUCUACUUGCCUCUGUAACUCUUCUUGCUCCUUAGGGUUCAUUCUAUAAAUAGCAUUAUUUGGGAGGCUAGCAUCUCCUAUACUCUUUCGUACCUCAGUUUUUGUCAAGAAAUUAUUCCCUUCUCCUCUCAAAGGUUGGGGACCUUUCUCUAUUUUAAUAGGUCCUAACACAAUCUUCAUCCCAUCGUUCACAAACGAAUGUGUUUUUGAAUCCAUCAUACAUUACUCUUCUAUCAUAUUGCCAUGGACGAACAAGCAACAAGUGACAAGCAUCCAUAGGUAUAACAUCACAAUUUAACUCGUCGGAUUAUUUAGCGCCAAUAGAAAAUUGAGCAAGACAAUGCUUGCGAACUUUUACCUCAUUACCCUUGCGAAGCUAGGAAAGCUUGUAUGGUUGAGAAUGAUCUUCUAUUUUGAGCUUCAAUUUCUUUACCAUUAAUGCUGCAAUGACAUUCUCACAGCUUUCUCCAUCAACGAUUACACCACAAAUCUUGCCAUGGGAUGUACACCUUGUGUGGAAAAUAUUGUUGCAAAGCCAAUUGUCAUACUCUACAUGUGCUGUACUCAAGCUUCAGUAGACCAUCAAAGAUUUUCCAUGGUCAGCAUAGGUCACCUCCUCUUCUUCUUCCUUAUCAUAUGUUGGUUAGCCUGAAUCUUCAAUUUCACAUUCAUCCUCUUCUACGAAGGCAACAAUUUUAUGAUUAGGACAAUCUGAUGCAAUAUGGCCUAUACCUUGACAUUUGAAGCAUCGAUGACUAGUAAAAGAAUUGGAACGACUAGGAUUAACAGUGGAUGUUUUUAGCUUCAAACUAAUUUUUGAUGAUGACGGCUUGAUGUAAUUAUUUCUUGAAAGGUCUGUAUUCCCACGAUUAAAAUUAGUGUCAUGAUUCACGGCACAACAUGCUCCUCUACGAGGCUCCUGUAAUUGCUUCUCAACCUUAGCUGCAAGUUUACAUACAUCGUUGAAAGUCCAGUAGGGCUGUAGCUGUAUCACGUCACAGAUUUCAGUAUGUAACCCACCAAGAUAACCAGCUAUAGUUUGCUCUUCGAGCUCCUUAAUCUUAUACCGUAACAUCAGAUAUUCAAAUUUAGCAGUAUAGUUUUUAGUAGAUAAUUCAUUCUGCUUUAUAUUAUGAAACUUAAGGAAAGAAUCAUGCUUGUAGUUAUCUGGAAGAAAUUUCUUCUUCAGGGCUUUCGGUAUCUUCUCCCAUGUUAAAAUACGACUUUUCCCUUCAUGUGCCCACUGUUUCUUAAGAUGCUCCCACCAGAUCAAUGUGUGUCUCUUCAACUUUAUGGCUAGAAUUUUCACCAUGCGGUCUUCUGGCACAUCCUUGUACCCAAAGAUCAUUUUCAUUGCAUGCAACCAAUCAAUGAAUUCAUCUGGUAACAUUCUGUCUUCAAAUUCUGGAACAUCAACUUUGAUGUCGAAAUCUCGGUCAAACAUGAGAUUUCUUCGAGAACGAUUGGAUCCCGUCCUAUGAUCUCGAUAGAAAAGAUUAUCCUCUUCUUCAUCAUCACAUGAACGUUUCUCCUGAGAUUCCUGAUUUUGCGCUUCUUGUCUCACGGUUUGAAGAUAGGCCAAUUGUUGUUGAAGAUGUGCAAUGUUUCAUUCUCAAUAUCACGAUGAUCCCGUUCACGAUUUGGUCUUUCAACGUCAGGCCCACGUCAACCACGAUCUCGAUUAGCCAUAAUAACCUGGGGACUCUGAUACCAACUGAUGUUGGAAAAUCACAGCAACAAAACUAAUUCUGGGAAAAAAUAAUGACGGUUACGGGAUGUUAGCAAUCAUCACUCACAGACAGUU
rnacentral:sRNA from 1 species